AGAAACUUCUCAGAUGAGUGCAGAAUGCCAUUUGAUUGUUUGCGACUCUAAAGGCCUGUUUGGGGGAGAGAAUGCCUAUUACAGAAGAAUUACUGCAGGUACAACCGAAGGUUAAGAGGAUCCAGUAGUUUGUAAUUUUCAGCACUCGAGAGGACUCUAACUGAAUCCUUUACACUUAACAUAUGUAACAACAAUUGCCUUCAGAAUAGUGAAACAGGACUGUGCUCAUGUUUUAUAUUUGUUUGUUUACUCAGUAUCUUAGCACAUCAGACUUUGCAAUGUGUGAGGAAUUGGCAUUAAAAGCCGCCAUUCUAGCCAAGAAAUUUGCUCCAGAUCUUUCGUGGAAAAAUCUCCCUUAUAAGGCAGCCCACUCAGUUAGGAAAUAGACAUGGAUACUCUCAUUUCUUAUUUCCAUCUUUCUGAUAACAGCGAAAGUGAGGAAGACAUUUUAUACAAAUGUUCCUGAUGAAUACAUGCAGGCUGUUGAAGAUCUGGUUGUCCCGAGGACUGAAUUUGGUAAUGCAUCAUAGAAAGAGCAUUACCAUGUGAAGGAAUCGGCUACAAUGGAUUUCCAACAGGUUGUGCAGAUGACGAACUUCCAUGGGCAAAGGUGCAUUGCAAAACAAGAAAAGCAGCACCCCCGGCUUCUCUCAGACUCCUCCAAGGAGAAGGAUGCUUAUUGUAGAUGAUGAGCCCGAAAAGGAACCACAACCAAAAUGCUGCUCAUAACAUUAGGAGCACAGGAUAUUGAAAGAUAGUUCAUUUUUAUUUUUAUUUUUAUUAUUUAUUUAUGAGAACUGCUCCUUAUAUGUUCCCAGAGCGUUAGAAGUUAUAGUGCUCCUAGUUGAAUCAGGUAACUUGGACAGUCCAAUAGAGCGAUCUAAAUUGUCCAUUAAAGUAAGAACACAUUUCAAGGGCUACCAUGCAAAAAUAGGACUGAUUGGAUGAUCAAAUCUAUCCUAGAUUCGUCCUUGUUGUUGUAGUCAUCCUUUUCCAACCCAUGGAUGGGAUGGUUAGGAUUGCUUAGAAGAACUCAUUCGUUAGAAUCGCAUGCAAUCCAUAAUGGUGGAUGAGUUGCCACAAUUUGGUACUUCGCGGCAACUGCGCAUAUAAUCUUUAAGCCCAAUGCACGAAAAGCCCGCACAAGUGGACAAGGCAAGCUAUGGCCAGGUGGGUGGCUGAUGGUGAAAUAUCUGAGGUGUCCAUCAGCUAGGUCAGACCUUGUAUCGGUUCUCACCCAAUGGCAACUCGUAUGAACUCAUUCCAUCCCUAGUUGAGUCAUGAGACUUACAUGAGACUUGGACAAGUCGCCAAACCUUGGGAAUUGGGUAUUGUUAGUUUUGCUUCUGACUGUGCAUUGAUUCCAUACAUUGUGUGGCCAACCUAACAGUCGUUCUGAAUUUUUUGAGCCUUCUCAUGCACACAUGGGACCCACCUGAUGCAUGGCUCAUAUGUCCAACACAUGCCAGGUUGGCAUGUGCGGCUAUAGUUGCAUGUGGCCUUUGUGGAACUCACUCUAACCUCGUCUUGAUCAUCAUUAACGUCACUAUUGAUAUCAUCACAACCAUCAACAGAUACUGAUUCUGUAUUUGUAGCAGGUUGAAACUUAGGGCUCACUAAUUAACAGAAAAGGCAUCACAAUCUCGGCCACAAUCGGCGUCGCCCAUUCAGAAAGCAUGGUGAGCUAAUCUUUUCUUCCGUUGAAUGGUUUAUACGCUUCAUCUUGAACGGUCUGCAUGCCAUCGACCUGAUUUUAAAUGGCUCGGAUCGUAUGAUAAAA